UACGUAGGCAGCGAGCGUUGUUCGGAGUUACUGGGCGUAAAGAGUGCGUAGGCGGUUUUCUAAGUUUGGUGUGAAAUCUCCCGGCUUAACUGGGAGGGUGCGCCGAAGACUGGAAGGCUUGAGUAUGGGAGAGGUAAGCGGAAUUCCUGGUGUAGCGGUGAAAUGCGUAGAUAUCAGGAGGAACACCUGCGGUGUAGACGGCUUACUGGACCAUAACUGACGCUGAGGCACGAAAGCGUGGGUAGCAACAGG
rnacentral:rRNA from 1 species